CGGGGCGGCCGCAGUCUGCUCGCCCGGGCGACAGACGCUCCGAGAUGCCGAAGGGCCAGCAGCGGCCCCGAAGCUCCGGGCUGGCCGCGCUGUCGCUCUGCCGCGCCCCGGUCUCGAAGUGAAGGUGCCUCUUCCUGGCUAGCCCACCUACAUGCUGUCAUCACUGGGCUUCUGCAACUCUCAGUCUUUGUGGCUGCACCCUUCCCUUCUGAAUCCUGAGGACCCAUGAGUGUCAGGCCCAUCAUGAAAUUGGUCGUCUUACUGGGUCUUUCCCCUGCAGCUUUCCCGAGGCUGUACAGCAUUUAUUGGUGCUCAUCUGUUUGAGUAGAGCUGGCAUAGAGGACUGCCACCGGCUGGGAGGGGCCAUGGUACCAGAGGUCUUGGGUGCCUGAAGAUACUCCCCCUAGCCCUGAUGCCUUGGAAGAGAAGCCCUUCAAGACAAGCUGAUGCCAGGCCCUGGCCAGAGCUUCAUGUGGGAGGAAGGGUGACCAGCCAGUUUCACGCUCCAGCUGCCUGCUACCAUGCCUCCCCACGUCAUGGACUCUCCUUCUGUAACCAUAAGCCAAAAUAAACACUUUUCCCCCUCUGUAA
rnacentral:lncRNA from 1 species